rnacentral:rRNA from 1 species
UACGGGGGGGGCAAGCGUUGUUCGGAAUUACUGGGCGUAAAGGGCUCGUAGGCGGCCAACUAAGUCAGACGUGAAAUCCCUCGGCUCAACCGGGGAACUGCGUCUGAUACUGGAUGGCUAGAGGUUGGGAGAGGGAUGCGGAAUUCCAGGUGUAGCGGUGAAAUGCGUAGAUAUCUGGAGGAACACCGGUGGCGAAGGCGGCAUCCUGGACCAAUUCUGACGCUGAGGAGCGAAAGCCAGGGGAGCAAACGGG